rnacentral:lncRNA from 1 species
GGGCAGCAGGGCAUGCAGGGAGGUACAGUGCCCGCCCUCAAUGUCACCUUCCAAUGAGACAUAAUUCCUGCAAGCAAGGUCACCAAGGAAAAAGGCUUGAUCAAUAUUUCUCCAGGAAAAGAACGGCAUUUACAAUGCCUACUGGCAUCACAAAAGGACCUCAGGGAAAGUGUAACAAUCACCUCGUAUAUAAGCAAGCAAGUGUGAGCAGCAUAGAAUGCAUGAAGCUACUCAGUCUUGGAAACUUUUGGAACCAAUCGGUUCCUAGUUUUAGGUAACCGAAAUCUGCUAAAACCUGAAGAACCGAUCGGUUCAGUUCGCUCAGACUGAGCGCCCACCCCUUGCUACUCUGUUGAUCUAGAUGAG